rnacentral:rRNA from 1 species
AGCAGCCGCGGUAAUUCCAGCUCCAAUAGCGUAUAUUAAAGUUGUUGCAGUUAAAAGCUCGUAGUUGAAUUUCGGGAUCAGUAUGUUGGUCGUGCUUCGGUACGUACUGUCAUUACUGGUUUCUACCUUCUGAAGAACCUUGAUGUCAUUAAUUUGGUGUCUUGGGGAAUCAGGACUGUUACUUUGAAAAAAUUAGAGUGUUUAAAGCAAGCAUACGCUUGAAUACAUUAGCAUGGAAUAAUGAAAUGGGACGUUUGAUUCUAUUUUGUUGGUUUCUAGGAUCGACGUAAUGAUUAAUAGGGAUAGUUGGGGGCAUUAGUAUUCAAUUGUCGGAGGUGAAAUUCUUGGAUUUAUUGAAGACU